AUACUAUGAUGGUUGCAUAGUUCAGCAGAUUGAACCAUGAAGAAAUGUACCAUGUGUCUUAUGUAUCU
ensembl:snoRNA